AUGGUCUAGCUCUUUGAGGAAGACGCGGUCGUAGCUACAGCGGAGGUUUGGACGCCCGGCUCCUGCUCCUGACUCACCGCUGCUCGCUCUCACCGAGGAACAAGUCGGUCAGGAAGCCGCGCCGCAGCCAUGGCUUUUAAAGACACCGGAAAGACACCCGUGGAACCGGAGGUGGCGAUUCACCGAAUCAGAAUUACUCUCACCAGCCGCAACGUAAAAUCUUUGGAAAAGGUAUGUGCUGACUUGAUCAGAGGCGCAAAGGAAAAGAAUCUCAAAGUGAAAGGACCAGUUCGGAUGCCUAUCAAGACUCUGAGAAUCACUACAAGAAAAACUCCUUGUGGUGAAGGUUCUAAGACCUGGGAUCGUUUUCAGAUGAGGAUCCACAAGCGACUCAUUGAUUUGCACAGUCCUUCUGAGAUUGUUAAGCAGAUUACUUCCAUCAGUAUUGAGCCAGGAGUUGAGGUUGAAGUCACCAUUGCAGAUGCUUAAAUCAACCUUUUUAAUAAAUUGAUUAUCGGUUGUUAAAAAAAAAAAUAAAAAAAUAAAAA